rnacentral:rRNA from 1 species
CUAAUGCAAGUCGAACGAUGAAGCUUCCUGCUUGCAGGAAGUGGAUUAGUGGCGAACGGGUGAGUAUCACGUGAGCAACCUGCCCUUGACUCUGGGAUAAGCCUGGGAAACUGGGUCUAAUACCGGAUAUAACCUCUUACCGCAUGGUGAGUGGUGGAAAGCUUUUGCGGUCUUGGAUGGGCUCGCGGCCUAUCAGCUUGACGGUGAGGUAGUGGCUCACCGUGGCGAUGACGGGUAGCCGGCCUGAGAGGGUGACCGGCCACACUGGGACUGAGACACGGCCCAUACUCCUACGGGAGGCAGCAGUGGGGAAUAUUGCACAAUGGGCGAAAGCCUGAUGCAGCGACGCCGCGUGCGGGAUGACGGCCUUCGGGUUGUAAACCGCUUUCAGCAGGGAAGAAGCGCAGGUGACGGUACCUGCAGAAGAGGCUCCCGCUAACUACGUGCCAGCAGCCUUGGUAAUACGUAGGGCGCGAGGGUUAUCCGGAAUUAUGGGGCCUGAAGACGCUCUACGUCGCUUGCGGGGUCUGCGGUGAAGGUUCCGGGCUUACUCCGGGGUUUGCAGUGGGUCCUUGCACGCUACACCUCAGGAGGGGAG